CUCACUUGCUGCCGGGGAGCAGACCCUGCCAGGCUGAGGUAGAAAGGCCCAGGCUAGCGGGAGACCCCAAGAGCCCCACAAAGCCACCAGGACAGGAAAGGAUGACCUUACUGCUUUAAUCUGCACACUGUGGGGUAGCCCUGCAGCUCCUGCAGGUCGAUCUCAGCCAGCGCAGGCCCGGUCACCACAAACAUGCGCAGCAUGUUGUAGAUGCGUUCCAGCGAGAGGCUCUCCAGGUUGGUCAGCAUGGCCUGGAUGUAGGUCCAGAAGAGCUGCACACACCGGCCAGCCCCCGUCAGGUGCCCACUGGGGCUGCUGCUAGGCACAAGCAGGCCUUCACCCCACCCCGCCGCACCCCCACCACCCCACCCAUGGGCCCCGCACGCGCACCAGCAGCUCCUCCUCCUUCUGGUCUGCCUGGGAGGCCAUGCCCGAGUCGCUCUCGUCAUCACUGUCGAUGAGGACCAUGCUGUCCCGGUCCUGAGGCCGCUCCUCCUCGAUGACAGAGAAGGUGCCAGGGGGCUCCUCUCGCAGCACACCCUGCUGUAGCCACACAGACAUCCUCCGCCGCAGCAGUGCCACGGGCAUCUUCACCGCCUUGCUCAGCUCCUCAAGGGUCCAGCUGGCUGCAUGAAGAGUGACCAAGACCCUGGGCAGCCUGCAGAUGGGCUGCCCCUCCCCUGCCUCCUGUCAGCCCAGAGGUCGGAGGCCCAGACCCCCCCCACCUUGCCCGUGGGAAAAGUAAGGGUGCUGCCUGCUGGCUUGGCUGCCCCAAACCACACCCUCACUGGGGAGCAACCCCUCACCCAUGGCAGGGCCGUGGGGCCAGAGCAGACCAGCUGGGGGCCGGUGGACUCACCUUGGUCCUGAAAGUACAGCAGAACCACCGCCUGUACCGGGGUGACUGCCACAGACAGUGUACGGUCAGCCAGCUCCACGUCCAUGGUCACCAGGCCCAGAGUGUGCUUCCAGCUGAGGGUCCGCAUGGCCUAAGGAGGGCUGGGGUCAGUGUGGGUGGCUCGGCUGCAGGGGGCCGAGGCUCAUGGGCUCUGCCAUGUGGAACCGGGUGACGAAGGGCUCUCAGAGCUGCCUGCCCCACCCUGCCCCCGGCAGACAGGUGAGCAGCGGGAGCACAGGACUGGGUGGGCCCCACCUGCUCAGCUACCACAAAACAGCAACGGGGCCAGUGUCACAAGAUGUGUCCCGGAAAAGCUUUUUGUGCAUCCUAACCCCCCCGUGCUUGGAAACGUGGCUGCACUGGCAAACAGUGGACAAGGUCACACUGGCGUGGGUGCAGCCUAAUCCAACUGACUGGCGUCCUUUUUUUUUUUUUUUUUUUUUUUUUUUGAGACGGAGUUUCGAUCGUUACCCAGGCUGGAGUGCAAUGGCGCGAUCUCGGCUCACCGCGACCUCCGCCUCCUGGGUUCAGGCAAUUCUCCUGCCUCAGCCUCCUGAGUAGCUGGGGUUACAAGCAUGCGCCACCAUGCCCAGCUAAUUUUUUGUAUUUUUAGUAGAGAUGGGGUUUCACCAUGUUGACCAGGAUGGUCUCAAUUUCUUGACCUCGUGAUCCACCCACCUCGGCCUCCCAAAGUGCUGGGAUUACAGCCUUGAACCACCAUGCCCGGCUUGACUGGAGUCCUUCUAAGGAAAGGAUGGAUGACGGAAGACACGGGCGGCGGGAGGGGUCACAUGAGGACAGAGGCCGACGAGCCACGCGGCCACAAGCCAGAAAACACCAAGGGCUGUGGCAAAAGCCAGAAGCUGGAGGGCAACAAUCUCUUAAGAGGUUUCUGGGGGAGUAGGGCCCUGCCAAUACCUUAAUCUUGACUUCCAGCCUCCAGAACCAAGGCAGUUUAUUUCUGUUUUUUUAAAGCCACCCAGUUUGUGACACUUUGCUACAGCAGCCACAAGAAAUAAACAGAUUUUGCUACCAGGAAGGGCGCUGCUGAAACGUGACACCAGGAAUGGACCCCCUAACAGGUGCUUCUAGUAAGGUCUAGGGCAGAGUGAGCGCGCUGCUGUGGCCGGAGGAGGCAGCAGAGAGCCUGGCGGGCUGGUGCUCUGCUGCUGGAUGGAAAGUGGGGCUGCAGUUGAUGAGCCUGAAGGCUCAGCUGAGAUUUACAGGCAGCGUGGAAGGUGAGGCCUGGCUUCUCCUUGCCACUUAAUAGCAGAAUGCAAGAGGGAAAAAUCAGUGAGGACGGAAACAUUAAGCAAAAAGGCACCAGCCCUUGGAGAUUUGAAAAAUGCUCUGAUGAUCCAGGCAGCUCUGAGACACAGCUAAAGCUGUGGCUGGACCAGGAUUUGCAAGAGAUGAGGUGUGAUUUGCACAUCCAACCGUCUCAGCAGGAGACGGGCAGGUGGGGCUCCAGGUAAGGGCCGCAGGGGGCCUGGACACUGGUGAACUGCACAAGAGAGAAACCAACGAGGUUUGUGAGAACUUUACCAGCAGAAAUGCUGCCAGGCUGGACUGAGAGGCAGGCAGGCUCCAAGAGCAGAGCCGCCGACGCAGAGGCCAAGGCUGACGGGGUGGGGCUGACCCCGCAGGCCAAGGGUGGAGCACUGAGCCCAGGAUUCGCAGGCCGUGGCAUCAAAUUGAAUUUGGCUGCUGGGUUUGGACUUGGGGUGACCUGCCACCCUGUUUCCUUCCAGUUUUCCCUAUUGGGGUGGGAAGAGACAUUCUAUGCUUGUCUUACCGUUGAAUUUUUGAAAGAGAGCAUCUGCUGCCUGAUUUCACAGCAUCCAAGCUGGAAAGGAACGGACACACCCCAAGUCUCACCUGGACCUCAUUUAGUUGCUAUUUACAUGCUGAGAUGUGGGACUUCGUGUGGAUGGUAUUUAGAUGAGAUUUUGGACUUGGACUUGAGGCUGAAAUGGUGAGGACUUUUGGGAAUACUGGGUAUAAUUGUAACUUGCAUGUGGGAGGGCCCACCAUGGGGCAGAUUGUUGUUAUGUGCCCCUCCAAAAAAGACACAUGAACUGCUAACUCCCUGAACCCCGGAUGUGAUCUUAUUUGAAAAUAUGGUCAUUAAAGAUAUAAUUAAGAUGAA